GCUCUCGUCUCGGCAUCUCGUCACCGCACAUGUGCGCCUCGAUGGCUCUCGGUGUUCGACCUUCGUUCACUCGACUCGCGUCCGCCCGCCUGCGUUACUACUACCACCACCGCUGACGCUCGGGGCCGCCCGGCCUCCGCGACGUCCACGCGCUCCAGCUCCUAGAGAGCCGCGGCCCCCUCCCGUUCGACGAACAGUCCCACCGGCGACGGCCGCAGUUAGCGCUGCUGUGCCAGGUCGCCGUCCCGGCCAUGAGCGGCGGCAGACCGCGGAGCGGGAUGGGCCCCGAACUCACGAGGCCGUGGUAGCAGCGUGAGCCCCGGUUGCGGGGGGCGCGACCCGGCAGCUGUGGUCGUAAACGUCCACAUGUGCGACGAAUGGCCGCCGCCCAUACGCCUCUUCCAACACCAAGGCCGCCCCGUCGAAGAUGGCUGCUGUCUCCCCCCCAACGACUGACUGUCGGCGGUCGAACGCGCUCCACCGGACGUGGCAGACCAGGUGGCAGAAGUACGGUCAGGGGAGAGGGGGCCACUUAGGAAGGAAUAAGUCUACCUUAAAGGCUGUAGUCUCUGUGCAUAAAACAAUUAGUCCACGACUUCUUUGUUAGUUAGGAGAGGCGAACUUCCAUCCAAUACGUGUGUCUAAACAAGAAUGGAACGUUCGUAGCAACCUGCUUCUGUCAUCCGUACUAGUACCUGUUUGCGUCACUCACGAGUUGGGUAGACACGUAUACGACGUGAAGUACGGGGGCAAGGCGACGGUAGGAAUAAAACGGAGAGGACCUAGACCGAGGGGUCUCACAGCAGAACGACAGGGAGGGGUCCAACGGAGCUAGAACGUCCUCUCCUCGUGCCCUCCCGCCACCGACCUCAGCCGUCACCGACUUCCCUUGCGAACUCUUCCCCUACGUUACCUUGACACUUCCCGCCCAGCCGCUCCUUAGGGCGUGUCGCGCUGUGUACCCGCUCGUCGCUUCCUCCAAACCCCACCGCGGGCUUUUAUAACCUUCCCCUACCCCUCCACCGCCUACCAACCUCUUCUUCUGGCCGGCGCGCCGGCGCGUACCGCCGCCGCCGACACGGCAUGGGCAUGCGCUCCUCCUCUCGGGCACCAGCACGUACACACACCAGAAACAAAUCGUUAAGUUUUAUCGUGACGCCCAUCUUAUUAUUUGUUACGUCCCUAGAAAAACAUUCAUGCUUUGCAAAAAAGCUAACUGGUGAAUUUUAUCCUGACAUCCAACUUAAGAAUCUUUGUCUCCCUGAAAAAACGUUUUAGCGAUCGCUGCUGCUGGUCUUUGGGUUAAGAGAAAUAAUAAUCCAAUAAUAAUCCCUUUCUUUUCUGAUCGCACGAAUUUGGACGUGUGACUUCGAUAGAAAACCUCUAAUAAAACAGACGGUACACAUUAAAACCAACUACAAAUCGGACAACACGAAUUGUACGAAGAACUACAUGGAUGUGUCCUGUUAAAACCCUUGCUGACGACAAAAGGUAGCUACAUGUAUACAGUAACCAUUUCUAGGUGCAAAGCUGGGAAAGACGCAUACCCCGUUACUCUAUAGCUACUUGGUCGUAGUUCACUCCUUCGACUAUUUCUAACAAUCAUUUUACCCAGGUUUCUACCGUUAAUUUGAUAAACAAAUGUGAAAUAGGUUCUGUUGUUGCUUGACGUCCUACACCAACGGUUUCGUCAAAUGAGUUCUAAUGGAGAGUUUGAUGUACUAACCACCCGUACGUUUCCAAUUUCAUAAAGAUGGUCUUGUGCUACUAAUAGAUCUACAAAAGUACUUAUAGCACUUCCUACCCGCCAGCCGGUAGUGUUCCCCAACCUGAUCUCAGCACGCACGGAAGACGUACCUCCUCCCGUGUUAUACCCGUAAGGCGAAGUGGAACAAGUUGUUGGUCUUAUAUAAAGCGGAGAAAGAAAUGGCAGAAAUUA
rnacentral:rRNA from 1 species